rnacentral:rRNA from 1 species
GACAGGGGGGUGCAAACGUUGCUCGGAAUUACUGGGCGUAAAGCGUGCGCAGGCGGUGAUGUAAGACCGAUGUGAAAUCCCCGGGCUUAACCUGGGAACUGCAUUGGUGACUGCAUUGCUAGAGUAUGGCAGAGGGGGGUGGAAUUCCACGUGUAGCAGUGAAAUGCGUAGAGAUGUGGAGGAACACCGAUGGCGAAGGCAGCCCCCUGGGCCAAUACUGACGCUCAUGCACGAA